CGCGCAGGCGGUCUUGCCAGUCAGGUGUGAAAGCCCGGGGCUCAACCCUGGAAGUGCACUUGAAACAGCAAGACUUGAAUACUGGAGAGGAGAGAGGAAUUCCUGGUGUAGAGGUGAAAUUCGUAGAUAUCAGGAGGAACACCGAUGGCGAAGGCAUCUCUCUGGACAGAUAUUGACGCUGAGGCGCGAAGGCGUGGGUAGCGAACG
rnacentral:rRNA from 1 species